rnacentral:rRNA from 1 species
GAACGCUGGCGGCAUGCCUUACACAUGCAAGUCGAACGGUAACAGGGAGCUUGCUCCGCUGACGAGUGGCGAACGGGUGAGUAAUAUAUCGGAACGUGCCCAGUCGUGGGGGAUAACGUAGCGAAAGUUACGCUAAUACCGCAUACGAUCUAAGGAUGAAAGCGGGGGAUCGCAAGACCUCGCGCGAUUGGAGCGGCCGAUAUCAGAUUAGGUAGUUGGUGAGGUAAAGGCUCACCAAGCCAACGAUCUGUAGCUGGUCUGAGAGGACGACAAGCCACACUGGAACUGAAACACGGUCCAGACUCCUACGGGAGGCAGCAGUGGGGAAUUUUGGACAAUGGGCGCAAGCCUGAUCCAGCAAUGCCGCGUGCAGGAUGAAGGCCUUCGGGUUGUAAACUGCUUUUGUACGGAACGAAACGGUGAGCUCUAAUACAGUUUGCUAAUGACGGUACCGUAAGAAUAAGCACCGGCUAACUACGUG